AUGUGUUCUGCGUGGAAAACUCUGUACAGCUUUUUUUCAGGCAGUGCUGCAAGGAGCCUCUGGGAGUUCCGGCGGGAAGAGACCAGCCUCCAUUUGGAGACCUUUGCUACAGGUGAAGACCUUCAAACAAGUCAAGCAGAUAUAUCAGGAGCUCAUCAGUUUUACAUCAAGAUCGCACAAAGGAAGCAAGGAGACUCCCACAUCUUUCAGUGAGAAGAAAGGAAGCAGUGGAGCAGACUAAUACGGACUUGUGUCUGGUGGCCUUGCAGUACAAAGGCUGCCUUUAAAAGAGAAGCACAGCGUUAUUUAAUGAGCUGUGAGAUGAGGCGCUGCUGCUAACACUCAGAUCCCUGGAUUCAUCGGCUAUUCAUUGUGCUUAAUGUACAUGUUUCUACACCGUGCGUUUAGGAGAUCCCAGAGAAGAAUCCAAAACGGCUG
rnacentral:lncRNA from 1 species